CAAGCCUCGGCGGUGACCAUCAUCGAUCUAUGGACCUCGGUGAGUGGAGGUCACGGAUCUACUCCACCGGUGUCGACGAGGUUUGUUUCCCCGUCCUGGAGAAGCGACGACGCAAUAGAUCUUCGUGCACUGCAGAGUCGUCUCCCCCAAGCCGCAAAGGAAUCACUCCACUCCAUCCUCGUUCUUUGAAUCGAUCUGGUGUGGAUCUGAUUUGUAAUGGCUUAUUAGGAUUUAGGCCAGAUUGAAGAGGACUAUAGUCUAUAGAUCAUAUGCUCAUUUCAACAUCAAGGGCAAUUUGAUUCAAUUAAGUCUAGGAUGAUGAUUUUCAGUACCUAGGAUGAAGUUUCAGAGCUGCCACCUAAUUUCAGAGCUGCAAGAUUUCUACAGAAUUGGAAGACUAUGCUACCAAAAAAGCUUUCCUAAUUUACCUAAGAUGAAGUUCAGUAUUGUUUAGGACGAGUCAUAUGUUUAUGUCUUUGUGUCUCCAAAAAUAUUUGUACACGUAUCAAGUGGUGAUUAUUUUAAGUUUCGCUACUCUAUAUAUUGGCUAUUUUAUUUCAAUGAGAAAUGGUUUGUCCAUUGCAAC